rnacentral:lncRNA from 1 species
UAUUAUUCCGGCUAGGAGAAACCAGUGGCCUAAGAGACGAGAAUUACGAAAGUUGAUUAUGGGGAUCAGAUUCUGAGUUUCGAAUAUAACGCAAAUAAGCAGAAAUCGGCGAUUCCGUUGGUUGACGAGGAGGGAUGGUGCUAUCUAUCAAAGGAGGCGGGCGAUUGGAAUCUGACAUUGAGUUCAUAAUAUAACACAUAUAAGCAGAAAUCGGAGUUUUCGGUGGUUGACGAGGGAUGUUGCUGUUUAUCAACGGAAGCGGACGAUUGGUAAUAUUUGCAGUGGAGGAGGACGGAUACCCUGCAAGCGAGAGCUUGGAGGCUUGGGCAGGUGAAUAGACGGAGGAGCAGAGAAGCUUUCAUAAGCAGGAGGUCCGGUGAGUUGCUGAACCACGUUUCUGAAAUCAUUCUUGUUAAUAUAGUACACCGGCAGCUGUGUGGACUGUGAUUGUGAUUUCUGUUGCAGCUGAUAAUUAAUAUUACUGUUAUUAAAAUUUUACUUUUGAUGAUCAAAAGGGGAUUUUUUGGCCAUUGUGGGAAUUUUGUACCUCAUCGGAUGUUGCUGCUGCUGGGCGGAGAACUGAACCCACACGCGAUUCAGCCGUGUCGAUGGUGAAUGAAUCUGCUGGAGAGGAAAUCGAGUAAGAGAAGGAAUUUGCAGAGUG